CCGCAAGGGCACUCGAGCGGCGUAAGGGACAGUAAUGUAUAGGUACGUACCCUUGGGUCUAGGAUAGCUGCGGGAAACUGCAAUUAAUACUAGAUGAUGUCUUCGGACCAAAGGUGUGAUUCCACCCAAGGAGCGGCCUAUAUCCUAUUAGCUAGUUGGGGAGGUGACGGCUCACCAAGGCGAUGAUGGGUAGCAGGUGUGAGAGCACGACCUGCGUCACUGGGACUGAGACACUGCCCAGACACCUACGGGUGGCUGCAGUCGAGAAUAUUCGGCAAUGGGCGAAAGCCUGACCGAGCGACGCCGCAUGCGGGAUGAAGGCCUUCGGGUUGUAAACCGCUGUCGGGGGGGAUGAAAUAUCAGUGGGUUCUCCCAUUGAUUUGACAGAUCUCCGGAGGAAGGGUGGGCUAAGUUCGUGCCAGCAGCCGCGGUAAGACGUACCACCCAAACGUUAUUCGGAAUCACUGGGCUUAAAGAGUCCGUAGGCGGCUCGGAAAGUUGGGUGUGAAAUACCUCGGCUCAACCGAGGAACUGCACUCAAAACUACCAAGCUUGAGAGAGACAGAGGUAAGCGGAACUGAUGGUGGAGCGGUGAAAUGCGUUGAUAUCAUCAGGAACACCGGUGGCGAAAGCGGCUUACUGGGUCUCUUCUGACGCUGAGGGACGAAAGCUAGGGGAGCGAACGGGAUUAGAUAC
rnacentral:rRNA from 1 species